AGGAAACCGCGAGUGAAUUUUCUCACUGUGGUGGAUUAGAAGAUAGCAUUCCCUGGGCCCAGAGCAUCACACCCAGUCGUUCUCCCAUUUCUACCAUCACUGACGUUGGAAGCCCUAUGUCAGCUAAUAAACCAAACCCAAGAGAUAAUCAAGCGAAAGGAGCUUCAAGUGGUGAGCAGUCUGACGAGGAUGACGAAACAGGUUUGAACAGAUCAUGGGUUACACUGAUGAUAAGCGGGACAGAAGG